rnacentral:rRNA from 1 species
AGAGUGAACGCUGGCGGUAGGCCUAACACAUGCAAGUCGAACGGCAGCACAGGAGAGCUUGCUCUCUGGGUGGCGAGUGGCGGACGGGUGAGGAAUACAUCGGAAUCUACCUUUUCGUGGGGGAUAACGUAGGGAAACUUACGCUAAUACCGCAUAAGACCUUCGGGUGAAAGCCGGGGACCUUCGGGCCUGGCGCGGAUAGAUGAGCCGAUGUCGGAUUAGCUUGUUGGCGGGUAAAAGCCCACCAAGGCGACGAUCCGUAGCUGGUCUGAGAGGAUGAUCAGCCACACUGGAACUGAGACACGGUCCAGACUCCGUACGGGAGGCAGCAGUGGGGAAUAUUGGACAAGUGGGCGCAAGCCUGAUCCAGCCAUACCGCGUGGGUAGAAGGAAGGCCGUUCGGUUGUUAAAGUCCCCUUUUUAGGUAGGUAAAAGAAA